CCCUCCAGUGUUUAUCAAUGGUCAGGAAAAUGCAGAGGAGGAGGAUAUGGAUAACAAUGAUGAUCUUGCUAGAGAUGCCAUUGAAAGUGAUGACAAGGAAGAACAGGCACCAGCAGAACUGCCUCCCAAAACAUCAAAAUUUAUAGCAUCAGUGCCCCUGUGAUGGUUGAGGUGGAGGGUGAGGCUGACCCACUUGAGAUUGCUAUGAAAGAGCUUCGUGAAAGGAAGAUACUCUUUACCAUCCGCCACUACCUCCCCUGAUAGAAGCCCUGAUGACAGAUUGUAGCCAUCCAUCAAAAAGUUCUCACACACCAAAGUUUGAUUUCGUGUGUAAUGAAAAUUAUGCUAUGUAAUGUGUUAUGAAAUCAACGAUAUUCUUAUGUACACAAACAAUUAAUUUUCUAAACAAU